CAGUAGCCACGGUAAUACGUAGGGUGCGAGCGUUGUCCGGAAUUACUGGGCGUAAAGAGCUCGUAGGCGGUUUGUCGCGUCGUCUGUGAAAUUCUGCGGCUUAACUGUAGGCGUGCAGGCGAUACGGGCAGACUUGAGUACUACAGGGGAGACUGGAAUUCCUGGUGUAGCGGUGAAAUGCGCAGAUAUCAGGAGGAACACCGGUGGCGAAGGCGGGUCUCUGGGUAGUAACUGACGCUGAGGAGCGAAAGCGUGGGUAGCGAACAGGAUUAGAUACCCCAGUAGUCCCUGUCUCUUAUAC
rnacentral:rRNA from 1 species